AUACGAAAGGUGCAAGCGUUGUUCGGAUUUACUGGGCGUAAAGAGAGUGUAGGUGGUUUAUUAAGUCGGAUGUGAAAUCCCGGGGCUCAACCUCGGAACUGCAUUCGAUACUGAUAGGCUAGAGUUUGGGAGGGGUAAGCGGAAUUCCGUGUGUAGCAAUGAAAUGCGUAGAUAUACGGAGGAACACCUGAGGCGAAGGCGGCUUACUGGACCAAUACUGACACUGAGACUCGAAAGCGUGGGUAGCAAACAGGAUUAGAAACCCUAGUAGUCC
rnacentral:rRNA from 1 species